rnacentral:rRNA from 1 species
AGUGAGCGCUGGCGGCAGGCCUAACACAUGCAAGUCGAACGGAAGCACAGUAAGAGCUUGCUCUUACGGGUGGCGAGUGGCGGACGGGUGAGGCAUACAUCGGAAUCUACUUUUUCGUGGGGGAUAACGUAGGGAAACUUACGCUAAUACCGCAUAUGUCCUACGGGUGAAAGCAGGGGAUCUUCGGAGCUUGCGCGAUAGAAUGAGCCGAUGUCGGAUUAGCUAGUUGGCGGGGUAAAGGCCUACCAAGGCGACGAUCCGUAGCUGGUCUGAGAGGAUGAUCAGCCACACUGGAACUGAGACACGGUCCAGACUCCUACGGGAGGCAGCAGUGGGGAAUAUUGGACAAUGGGCGCAAGCCUGAUCCAGCCAUGCCGCGUGGGUGAAGAAGGCCUUCGGGUUGUAAAGCCCUUUUGUUAGGAAAGAAAAGCAGCAGGUUUAUACCCCGCUGUUCUGACGGUACCCAAAGAAUAAGCACCGGCUAACUUCGUG